rnacentral:rRNA from 1 species
UACCAGCACCCCGAGUGGUCGGGACGAUUAUUGGGCCUAAAGCAUCCGUAGCCGGUCUUACAAGUCCUCCGUUAAAUCCAACUGCUUAACAGAUGGGCCGCGGAGGAUACUAUAAGACUAGGAGGCAGGAGAGGCAAGCGGUACUCAGUGGGUAGGGGUAAAAUCCGUUGAUCCAUUGAAGACCACCAGUGGCGAAGGCGGCUUGCCAGAAUGCGCUCGACGGUGAGGGAUGAAAGCUGGGGGAGCAAACCGG